GCUAAAUGAUGUGAAACUUUGAAAGGGAAAGCACCCAAUCUGAUCGGUUGUGGUGUACCAUGACACUUCUUUCAUAUUGAAUAGGAAGAUCUGAUAGAU
rnacentral:snoRNA from 1 species